AUGAACGCUAGCGGCAGGCCUAAUACAUGCAAGUCGAACGGUAGAUCGGGUAGCAAUACUUGAUUGAGAGUGACGUAAGGGUGCGUAACACGUAUGCAAUCUACCCUCAACAGGAGUAUAGCUCGGGGAAACUCGGAUUAACACUCCAUAACAUUACGAUGUGGCAUCACAUUGUGAUUAAAACUCCGGUGGUUGAGGAUGAGCAUGCGUCUGAUUAGUUAGUUGGAGGUGUAACGGACCCCCAAGACGAUGAUCAGUAGGGGAACUGAGAGGUUGAUCCCCCACACUGGCACUGAGAUACGGGCCAGACUCCUACGGGAGGCAGCAGUAGGGAAUAUUGGCCAAUGGGUGAGAGCCUGAACCAGCCAUGCCGCGUGCAGGAAGACGGCCUUCUGGGUUGUAAACUGCUUUUAUCUGGGGAUAAAAAGCCCAUGCGUGGGACAUUGAAGGUACCAGAUGAAUAAGCACCGGCUAACUACGUG
rnacentral:rRNA from 1 species